GACGAACGUUGGCGGCGUGCUUAAUACAUGCAAGUCAACUGAAGCACCGGUAGUAAUACUGGUGUGGAGGUGGCGCACGGGUGAGUAACACGUAGGUAAUCUGCCUUCAGGUCUGACAUAACCCCGAGAAAUCGGGGCUAAUAGCAGAUGAUGCAGCGGCUUGACAUCAAGACAGUUGUUAAAGCUUCGGCGCCUGAAGAUGAGCCUGCGUCUGAUUAGCUAGUUGGCGGAGUAAUGGCCCACCAAGGCUACGAUCAGUAACUGGUCUGAGAGGAUGAUCAGUCACACUGGAACUGAGACACGGUCCAGACUCCUACGGGAGGCAGCAGUAAGGAAUAUUGCUCAAUGGGAGAAAUCCUGAAGCAGCAACGCCGCGUGAGGGAUGAAGGGCUUUUGCUCGUAAACCUCUGUAGUGAGGGAAAAAUUUCCACUCUGUGGAAUAUGAUGGUAC
rnacentral:rRNA from 1 species